CCCCUUAUUUUCUUGUAUAUUUGAUGUUGUGAAAGCAAGGCUGUUAGAGAUCCAUUAAGCGGUGUUUGUAACGGGAGGGAGGUAUUCUAUCUGGUUUGAGGAAGAUAAGGCACAUAAAUCGAACUCGCCCUACAUCUGAACAUUGCUGCAAAUAGCGGAGAAGGAGGCAGACGUGUGGUCUCUUUUCCUACGUGCUGCGUGCUCUAUCUUGCCACCUCUGGAAGCCAGAAGAACUUGAGAAUUGGGGCUCAGUGCCUCCCCCUGACAUCUGGACACCUGGAGACCACAGCGCUGCAAGGACUGGGCACCAGAUUAUCUUUUCUCCAGUGGAAAUGACUAUUCUACAAGAUCCUAUGAGCUGGAGAGAAAUAUUGUAAUACAUAAUUGGGAUUGCAUACUUGGUGGAUAACGAAAGUCGAGGAAGGAGGUAACUGUUAGACACCCCCUAUGGAAUGAGUCCUAUUACAAGUUGUUCUGGACGAGACCUGCCUCCUGGAAACACAGCCACGUGUGCUUAGAGGGUGGUGGAGAGAUGGAAGUGCUCAGAGAGCCUCGAUCCUGAGUCUUUGGCUCAGACGCUGCCCUUCUCGGGGUGGUGGUCCCGCUGUGCUGGCUCCCACGGGAAUCCGAGGUCAGCUUGAGCAGGAGGGCUUUGUCCUGAAAGUAUUCCCUCUGAGAGGGACCGAGCAGGGUAGGCACACGUCAGGGGGUGCCCUGCUUUGUGUCUCCUCUCCCUGGAGAUCCUUGCUGCAAGGGGCAGGGUUACGUAGCCCAGCAAGGUGCCUCGAACACCCAGCAGCUGCUCUUCUCCACUGUGAGGUUAUUAAUGGGCAUAAUCCAUCAAGGCAGGGACUCAAGGAAAUGAGACUGCAGAAAUGCACUGUUAGGACUUGGGAACAGCUCAGUUGGCUGUUGACAGGGCUGAGGAGUCUUAAUAAGAGGGUUUGGAAAGAAAAAAAAAAAGCCUUUAUGAGGAAUUAAUUUCCUGUCUCCAUUAUAGAGUACUGGGAUGUUCAUUUAGCAUGCAGUAGGUGGGUGUUGAGAUUAGAGCUGAGGAGGAAAUGGAUGUCGGGACGUGCUAAAUCUUCCUCAGCGCCAGGGCGAGGAGCCCUGGGAACACGCUGCCGAGCUUUCAUUUGGACCAACCCUAACGAGGUGGGGGUAGGGACCUGAUGAGCUGAGGUCCCUCCAACCCAAGCCGUUCUGCGAUUCUGUCUUCCCAGAAGCGGGAGGCCAGCGGUUCCCAUUAAAACCCUUUCUUCCUAUGUUCCAAGCCUAAAAAAUAGAUGUAAAGGACAUCAAGGCCCAGAACGAGAGACGCACUGAUGAAAAAGCUUUAAAGAAGUCUUUGCAAAGCCCUCCUUAGCACUUUGCUAUUCACUGCUGGGUAUUUAUAGCCUCAUUUACGCUCGUUUUUGCAUCAGAUGCAUUUAGUCUUCAGUGGGAAAGCGGAGGGGAUGUGUGGAUGUUGGAGGACUUCACAUCUGCAGCCCUCGGAGCACUGAAACGCAGCGCUGCGAAACUGAGACCAUGAGUCGGUCUGAUCUAGUGGCUUCCGUGUAAAAACCUUACUCUAGGUCUCAUCUUACAUAGAAAAAGUGUCGUUGUUUUCCUCAGACAAAAAGAACACAAGGCUCGGGGCAGCUGAGAGGCAAGCUCAGUAUUUUCGUUUCUUCCGGGGUGCUGGAAGAAGCCCAAGCCCACCCAAGUGGGGUGUGAAAACCAGGAAAAAGACAACCCGGAGCUGCACUUGAUCUUUCUGCGGCUUGCCAUCGGCGCAGCCUUUCACACCCCCGGAGUCACACUCCCUUCUUUGAAUAAAACAGUAUGCGGGGCUCACGCUCGGCGCGAAGGCAGGCGUCACCUUCCACGAGCACGGGGCUGCUGCAUGCAGAGCUCUCGCCGUUUGAGCUGACUGGGUGCUUGGCACUCGGCACAACACUCCCCUCCCUCCCUUCCCUGACAGCGCUGCUUUCUGCUUCGCCUUUCUGGGGGAAAAAUCACAUUCCCAACACCUCGAAUGCUGCCUCAGACUGGACUGUUUGUUGCUAGCAUUCCCCCAGUGGGGGACAGCAGAUACUCAGGGUGAAAGCCCUUUGGAGGAGAGCACAUUUGGUGCAGGUGCCUUCAGCCAGCAGCGGGAGCAGUCCCAGAGCUAUGAGCCCAGCAGGAGGGAAUCAAGGACAGGCGCCCUGGCUGCCGUGUAACAUCUUGUCGCCAUCAAAGCCCCGUCGCUCACGUCUCGUGCAGUACAUGCGCUCUCUCUUGUUCUCUCCUCGCAAAGCAAGGCACCGUGUUUGGUGUGAUCGUGUAACUUAAGGUCAUAUUUUGCCUUCAGCCAUCGGCGUGUGCAAAUGCUGUCUGCCUAAUGAGGCAGCCUCCAAUGAGUAUCCCGCGCUGUUUUCCUACAAGGUACUUUGUUGUGUUUGCAAUCCCUCCUGACAGGUGGUGAAGAGCUGUCUUUCCUCUGGGCUUAUGACUUGAGCUGGAAAUCCAACAGCAGUGCAGGUUCCUGGCCAUGAGGGACUUCUCUCCCCUCCUCCUCCGAUGAUGUGCUAAAAGGAAAAUCUGCCUUUCGGUUUGCCUUUCUUGUUUUCGAUUUGUUUUCAGUCUUUUUUUGUUUCCUUAAGGGACUCUGGUCAGCUCAGGGAAGCUGUGUGCUUUCGGGGAUGUCAGAUGGUGGCUCGGCCGAUUCCCAUGCCAGGAAAGAGAAGGGCAAACAGAUGUGGUGCAAACAGCACAGCAGCAGGAUCAGUGCCCGGCCACGGCACCGAGAGAUGCGAGCAGGUCCCCCUUCCUCGCCCUUGCUUUCAUGGGCAGGAAUGACUCAGCUUGACACCACCGAAAGCUUUCAGACAGGCGAGUUUUAAAAAUGAUAGAUGAUAGCAUGCAACUCAUCAAUGACUCAGCUUGUCAGCGUUCAUCACUCGGACUCUGACCCUUCCUCCUCACCUCCCAGGCCUGCCCUGUUUUCUAGCUAUCAACAGGGUGCCCUGGAUCUCUGCCAAGGACUAUAGGGGCAAUGUUUUCAGACAUUGUGCGUGCUUUCGGAGGCCCGGCUCUAACAAAGAUGCUUUUAAAAAGGACCUGCUUUUCAGGAAGCCCCGAGUGUCUUCUGAUCUGAAAAAAAGCAGGUUUCAUUAAGGAUGUCCAGACUGGGCAUCUUCAGAAAAUGAAAGCUAAGUCAAAAAACCCUGACUCCUUACUCAGCUUCCUGUGGUGGUUUAUGAAUUAAUUUUCUCUUUCUCUCUCAAUUUUGUCAUCUGCUUGUUUAUAAUAUUCCAGGAAAAGUACCCAAAGGAGCUGCAUGGGACAUUUCAAACAGACUUCGUAAGGGAGAAGUCCCUCCUGGGUUACACCACUGCUGCUGGUUUAUGGCAGAUAGACUGUUGCUUUCUCCUGUUACAGCAGUUUGCAAACUUUCUCAGCCAGGCUUGUAUUUCCACAGCUCUCCCUCCCUGACAUCCAGAUCCACAUUUCUGCUUUGCUGUGAACUAGAAAGAGAAAACAGAGUUGAUAUGAUUUUGUUUUGAUCGGACGCCUGCCCCUUUCUCCUCAUCUCUUUAUUUUUUUUACAUGUUGAAGGGGAUCCAUCAAGAUAAUUUCCUGUUAUUAGGUUUGAAGUGUUUUGAAUUCGAAAUGCUUUUUCACUUAGAAAGAAUUGAUGCCUCUAACUUGUAAUGUGUUAGCGGUUCCGUGUCGUGCCUGACAGCCCAAACGGCAUCACAGGUAGCUAAUCCCAGCUGCUGAGCUCCAUUAAAGGCGAGCUGGUGUCUGCUAAUACAGCCAGCCCGUUUGGGUCAUUGUGCUGAUGCGAAGAGCAGGGCUGCCUGGAGAAAGAUUAGUAUGUGAGGGGACAUCUUUAUUCUAUUUUAAACUGGAAAAAUGUAUGGCAGAUACACUAGUCAUGAUUGAUUAGAGAUAUGAAAGGGAUUUUAUGAGCCUUCCUGCGUACUCUGUGUUUCUCAUUCUGUUUGUCAUAGCUCAGUGUUUGAUAAAUAAAUAAAUACAUAAAUCCAGACCUUGAGGAUAAUAGCAAAGGCAGACUCGUUGCUGCUCCUCUCAGUGCAGUAUUUUUUGUUCUAAUGGGCUAAGAACCGGGUGUCUCGGGAAUCAGUUCGGAGCUCUGAUCGGCUACACAGUUCAGGGCCACCUUUCCCCUCAUCUCUGUAGGAUCAUAAGCACAACGUGGCAGUGGCUUCCUUGUCCUCACACAGGCAGCCCAGUCCCGCCUGGCUUCUGUGCGUGCAGCCCAAGCAAUCUCCAGUUUCCCACCAACAGGACCUCAGAGCCACUUCCCUUCUUCAUUUUUCUGUGCUUCGAGUGGUUUCUGUGUGCUCUGCUGAGUUUGUAGGACUCCCUGAGCAAGGCAGAAGCACAAACUGUGCCGUCCCUGGCUCUGCAGCCACAUCACCCCACUGCCAUGGCUGCUCGUGGCCAAGGCUGUGCUCUGCCAAUGCCGUGUAUUCCUUGGCAAG